rnacentral:rRNA from 1 species
CCCCGUGAGCAAGUCACCCAGAAUGUGCCCGCUCUCGUCUGACCUCUGAACCUCAGCAGGGUUGAACCUGGAUAGUGCUUGGAUGGGCGAUCAUCCCCCGGAACAAAGUAGUUACAGGCU